rnacentral:rRNA from 1 species
AGCAGCCGCGGUAAUUCCAGCUCCAAUAGCGUAUAUUAAAGUUGUUGCAGUUAAAAAGCUCGUAGUUGAACUUCGGGGUCUACCCAUUGGUCAGGCUUAAUUGUCUGCACUGGUGGGAUGGAUCUCUACCUUCUGAGGAACUUUCAUGCCAUUUAUUUGGUGUGAUUGGAAAUCAGGGCUGUUACUUUGAAAAAAUUAGAGUGUUUAAAGCAGACUAUCGUCUGAAUACAUUAGCAUGGAAUAAUGAAAUAGGACGGACUGAUUCUAUUUCGUUGGUUUCUAGGAUCACCGUAAUGAUUAAUAGGGAUAGUUGGGGGCAUUAGUAUUCAAUUGUCAGAGGUGAAAUUCUUGGAUUUAUUGAAGACUAACUACUGCGAAAGCAUUUGCCAAGGAUGUUUUCAUUAAUCAAGAACGAAAGUUAGGGGAUCGAAGACGAUCAGAUACCGUCGUAGUCUUAACCAUAAACUAUGCCGACUAGGGAUCGGAUGAUGUUAAUUUUUAAUGACUC